UACGGAGGGUGCGAGCGUUGUCCGGAAUCACUGGGCGUAAAGGGCGCGUAGGCGGCCUGAUAAGUAGGGGGUGAAAUCCUGCGGCUUAACCGCAGGGCUGCCUUCUAAACUGUCAGGCUAGAGCACAGUAGAGGCAGGUGGAAUUCCCGGUGUAGCGGUGGAAUGCGUAGAGAUCGGGAAGAACACCAGUGGCGAAGGCGGUCUGCUGGGCCGUUGCUGACGCUGAGGCGCGACAGCAUGGGGAGCAAACAGG
rnacentral:rRNA from 1 species